UCUCACCACUAGUUUUCGGCGUUUUAAUUGGCGUUGGUGGACGUGCUGGCGGUGGAGGCGUAUCGAUCUUCGCAGCAGGAGCCGGCGGCGUCGGUAGUUUCGCCGCCGGUUUAUGCGGUUGCGGAGCUUCUGCAGUUUUCGGGGACGGGGAAAUCCUUCUGGAAACUGCUCCACCUGUUGUUUGGCAGCGGGCGCUGACCGCUGAUUUUCAGGACUCUCGUGGUCUUUAGCUGCACUUUCAGCUGCUCUUUCGUGAAUCCUGUGCAAUUUUAGGUUGGUGAUCUGAAAUUUUGCCUAAAUUGAAAUAAAUUGAUGAAUCACACAUGACAUACCGGGGAGAUAGAGGAGGAGAGUGUUGCAAUCUUCCUCUUGUAUCAAAUCGGAAGCCGGCUGAAAGAGGGAAAGAACAGAGGUUGCUUUUGUUUGGAACUACCCCACCCACACCCUCCACCUCCACGGUUUCGAUUUCUCUUUUCUCCUUUGUACUCCGUCAUCAACCAUAUGCUAGCUCACUUACUGAACCGAGUUAUUACAAGGUAGUAGAAAAAAUUGUCAAAGAAGUAGUUUGAACUUUGAAAUGAAUUGAUGUUUUUAGACUAAA